AUGUUAGUGAGUUCGGAGGCUUCCGUUCCUGCUCAGUAAAUAUUUUGAGUGUCCGGUUGUUUUUAUUUUGGCAGAAACUCUGCUAGGUGUUGGGAACAGACCGAUCACAGGAAGAGACCUGGUGUUCUCGCCCUCCUAGAAUUCGGAUUCUAGCAGAUACACGUCAGACAAACCCUCACAACAACUAAAACAAACGUCCACCCUGCUAAGUGCAGGCAAGGAAGGUGCCCGGGGCUUCUAAUGGCUUAGAGCAAAGGAACGUGGCCUAGUCUGCACGCUGAGUUAGGGACAGCUUCUCGAGGAAGUGACUUUGGAGCUGAGAUGUAGGAGAAGAGUGUUGAGAGAAGAUCAGGGGCUCAAAAGAUGGUGGCUGUUUACUGCACGCGCCGUUGGCCGGAGGCCACUGGGUUCCGACUCCUGGACUGAGGUCUUGCUAAGGCGCCGUGUGGGUAUUAUAGGCAGCCUGCUCUGUGAGGGCUGUGCUCGUCAGACCUGGAUGUGAGAUCACCUCACUGCCGAAAGUGUGGUUUGCAGACCAGCAGCAUCAGCACCUCCUGGGACUUUAUGAGAAAUGCUGAACCUCAGGCCCCACCCCAGACCUACUGAACCAGAAUCUGCAGCUUAACAAGAGCUCCAGGUGAUUCCUGUGUGCUUCCUAGUUUCAGAAGCUCUGCUGUGGCCUGACCAUGUGUUAGAAGGGAUGUGCCGUGGCCUGUGUGGUCCAGAGGGUGGGGACUGUGUUGGUCUACUCUGUCCCUGUGAAGGUGGGUCUUGACUACAGGUGCACCUUCCUCCCAUGACGGGGAUUAGGAUACCAGGCUCUCAGAGCUCAACAUGCCAUCUGUUAACAGCAGCACAUCUCUCCGAGAAGGAGCCUCUGGUCAGAGGUGUUGAAGAAGUGCUGCACAUGGAAUUUGUGAUUGUUAGCUUCGUGUGUCAACUUGACCGAGCCGUGGGGUGCCCAGAUAUUUGGCCAGACAUUAUUGGAGAUAUUUCUGUGAGGAUGUUUUCAGAGGAUAGUCACAUUUAAAUUGGUAGACUGAGUAAAGCAGAUUGCCCUCCCCAGUGUGGGUGGGCUUUAUCCAAUCAGUUGAAGGCUUGGAUAAAACACAAAGAGUGAUCCUCCCCCAAAGAAGCAGGAAUUCCACCUGCCUGACUGCCUUCAAACUGGGACAUCAGCUUCUUCUUGCUUUCCUGCUUGAACCCAACACUGGCUCUUCCUGGAUCUUGAGCCCACUGGCCUCUGGACGAGAACUAUGCCAUCACCUCUCUUGGGUCUCCAGCUCAUUGACUCACCUAUAGAUCUUGGGAUUUGUCAACGCCCAUAAUCACAUUAGUCAUUUCCUUAUAAUAAAUCUCUG